AGUCGCCACGGUAAUACGAAGGGGGCUAGCGUUGCUCGGAAUGACUGGGCGUAAAGGGCGCGUAGGCGGAGAUUACAGUCAGAUGUGAAAUUCCUGGGCUCAACCUGGGGGCUGCAUUUGAUACGUGGUUUCUUGAGUGUGAAAGAGGGUCGUGGAAUUCCCAGUGUAGAGGUGAAAUUCGUAGAUAUUGGGAAGAACACCGGUGGCGAAGGCAGCCCCCUGGGCUAAGAUUGACGCUCAUGCACGAAAGCGUGGGGAGCAAACAGGAUUAGAUACCCCAGUAGUCCCUGUCUCUUAUACC
rnacentral:rRNA from 1 species